rnacentral:tRNA from 4 species
GCCACUGUGGCUCAGCGGUAGAGCGGCGGUUUCGUAAACCGUAGGCCGGGGGUUCGAUCCCCUCCAGUGGCUCCA